UACGGAGGGUGCAAGCGUUAUCCGGAAUCACUGGGUUUAAAGGGUGCGUAGGCGGCCUGACAAGUCAGGGGUGAAAUGUCGUCGCUUAACGAUGAAAUUGCCUUUGAUACUGUUGGGCUUGAAACAGGUUGAGGUUGGCAGAAUGUGGCAUGUAGCGGUGAAAUGCAUAGAUAUGCCAUAGAAUACCGAUUGCGUAGGCAGCUGGCUGGACCUGGAUUGACGCUGAGGCACGAAAGCGUGGGGAGCAAACAGG
rnacentral:rRNA from 1 species